rnacentral:rRNA from 1 species
UACGGGGGGAGCAAGCGUUGUUCGGAUUUACUGGGCGUAAAGGGCGCGUAGGCGGCGCAACAAGUCACUUGUGAAAUCUCCGGGCUUAACCCGGAGCGGUCAAGUGAUACUGUCGUGCUAGAGUGCGGAAGGGGCUACUGGAAUUCUCGGUGUAGCGGUGAAAUGCGUAGAUAUCUGGAGGAACACCGGUGGCGAAGGCGGCAUCCUGGACCGGUAUUGACGCUGAGGCGCGAAAGCCAGGGGAGCAAAGCGGG